rnacentral:rRNA from 1 species
UUAAGCUCUCUAGCGCCGAUGGUAGUUGGGACCUUGUCCCUGUGAGAGUAGGACGUCGCCAAGCAAGCUAAAACACAAGUCUUUUGACUUGUGUUUUUUUGUAUAUUUGUUUCGUUAGAAACAAGGGUGGAAAUAUUGCUAAAUCAUACCAGAUGGAAAAUUAUUUACGCAAUCAUGAUAAAGGCGAAGUAUUUUCGCUAUUUUUAUUAAGCGCUCAUUAAACUAUAUGUAUUUCGUAAUAGGAUCAUUAUUGGUCAUAUUUUCAAUAUAAGAGGGAAACCUCUCUUCUUUUAUAAUUAAUUUUUAAAAAACUUGGCGCAUAAUUGAAGCUUCUAUACUCUAAAUGAUUUAAUGGUUUAUGAAUUAUAUAGCUAUUUCCCCUUAAAAUCCUGUAUACAGUAUCCCUUAACUAAUAAACAUUAGAGGUGUUUCUGCCGGUAAAUAUUUCUUUUUCAUGAUUGGACAUCUAAAUCUUCUUCAUUAAUAUACUUUUGAAAAUAACUCCGUUCAUAAUUUCAAUAAUAUAGAUUUGUGUAAUUGCUUCCUUUGAGUUUGCAGUUUGCUCAAUCUAUUAAACAAGCCCGUCUAUAUAAUUGCAUUUUAUAUAGACGGGCUUUUUAAAUUUUUUAUUCUUAUAAUAGUAGUGUUUUGAGGAAUGUUUUUUGUUAUUAAGUAUAGGGAAGUAGUACAUAAUCUAUGGAAAUGAUACAGGUGCUUUCAAUUAUUAUGAGAACAGCUAUAUUAUGGCUAAAUAUGUAGUGAGAUAUAGGGAUGUUGAACAAGGGGCUCAUUUACAAUUGAAGUGUAUAUAUGGGUAUGAAAUCUUCUUUGAUUAGUAGUCGUAACUUCUUGAGGCAUAAAUUUUUGAAUUCCGUAACGUCAGUGCUACAAUGAUUGAAAAAUAAAUGUUAAUGAGGUGUUCAUAUGAAAAUUGAAGUUUGGUCUGAUUUUGUAUGCCCGUUUUGCUAUAUUGGGAAGCGUAGAUUAGAAAUGGCUUUAGAGCAAUUUCCACAUAAGAAAGAUGUUGAAGUUGAGUUUAAAAGUUUUGAAUUAGAUCAAAAUGCUCCGAUCUACUCUGGAACGAGUAUUAAUGAAGUGCUUGCAUCGAAGUAUGGAAUUAGUGUUGAAGAAGCUGAUCGUAAUAAUAUACAACUAGGCAAUCAUGCAGCUAGUAUGGGUUUGAGUUUCAAUUUUGAAGAGAUGAAGCCAACAAAUACUUUUGAUGCACAUCGUUUGGCGAAAUUCGCAAAGGAUCAGGGGAAGGAAAAGGAGAUUACAGAAAAUCUACUUUUUGCAUAUUUCACUGAAUCGAGAAACUUAAGUGAUGUGGAAACACUAGCUAAUAUUGCUGAAGCUUCAGGUCUAGAUAGGGAAGAGGCUUUAAAUGUUAUUCAUAAUAAAAAUGCUUAUGCCAAUGAGGUUAGGAUUGAUGAAUCAAUUGCCCAACAAUAUAAAAUUACAGGGGUACCUUAUUUUAUUGUUAAUCAAAAGUAUGCUAUUUCAGGUGCACAACCACUUGAAACCUUUGUUGGUGCACUUCAGCAGGUGUGGGAAGAAGAGAACCCUAAGUCUGAACUUCAAGAUCUUUCAAUAAAUAGUACAACAGAUGAUUAUUGUGCAGAUGGUAGCUGCUCGAUACCUUCAAAGGAAUAAUAUUUAAUUCUUUCUUUCUAUUAUGGUGUGCAUAAUGUAAUGAGGGGAUAAAUUUUAAAUGUCAUAUGUAUAUUAAUGAUAUCUAAAUACGAAUACCCACAGUGACUUUUAUAGGUUAUUCGUAUUUAGUUUAUUUUGGGGAGUUACAUUCAAGUGUAUUAUUAUUGUGCUAACGGCUUGUUGGUAUAGUUAAUUCAUAUUUUUAUAAAAAACUUAUUUAAAACUAUUGACGAUUAACAUACAUGGGUGUAAUAUAGAACAAGUCGCCGAUAGCAAUAACGCAGAAAGCGACAAAAUAAAUAAAAAAACUUAGUUGACAUUGAAAUAUGAAAAUGUUAACAUAAGGGAGUCGCAAAUGAGCGACUAAGUAGUUCUUUGAAAACUGAACGAAACAAACAACGUGAACGUCAAUUUUUAUUUUUAGAUGCUAGACAAACUAACUUUAUUGGAGAGUUUGAUCCUGGCUCAGGAUGAACGCUGGCGGCGUGCCUAAUACAU